AACUGAUACUACCUGCGGGAACCUGCGGAGGGAUCAUUAACGUGCCCCAGUCGGGACGCUGCGUACAUACGUGCGCGCGUCUCCGCACCGGCCACCCGUGUCUACCGAACCUCAGUUGCCUCGGCGGGCCCGCCCCCUUCCGGGGGCCGCCGGGGGCGCCCCCACGCGCCCCGGGCCCGUGCCCGCCGCAGGACCUCUGGAACUCGUGUGAAGAAGUGUCUCUGUUCUGAAGUCACGAUC
rnacentral:misc_RNA from 1 species